rnacentral:lncRNA from 1 species
GCCACCUGAGAACGCGAAGAUGAUCUUCGAGAAGACCACCCACACCUCUUUGCUAACCACAACGAAUCUCGAGGACGAGAUUCAUCUUAAGGGGGUUAGGUCUAUAACAUCCCAAAAAUUCAAAUUCUUACAUGUGCAUUGCAUCCAUAAGCAUCAUGCCACAAUUGCAUAUUUGAAUUCAAAUUUGAAUCUCAAAAGGCUUUAAAAGUUUCUAAUUCAAUUUAAACCCUAGGGUUUUCACCCAAUUGAGCUUUGGAUCUUCAAACCGAUAGGGUUUAUUUAUAAAAGGGGUUUAUUGCAUAAGUAAGCUAUCCCAUAAUUUUUGGAUAAUCAUUUGGAGUUGAAAAACUAUUUUAUUUAAAUAGUUAUAUAGCCCUAAAGGCAUUUAUAGGGCAAAGGUAUUUUUAUAUAUUUCAUUUUGAGUGGAAAUUACUCCCAAAAGUUGAAUCAUGAUAAAACAUGAUUUUACAAAUUUUCUGGAAUUUAUUUGGACCAAUUUGGACUUCAAAAUCAAAAGAUAUCAAAGAAAUGAGAAAAAGAAAAAAAGGAAAGAAACCGGACCGGCCCGGCCAAAUGGGCCGAACCGGCCCAGUCCCGACCGCGACCGAGCCGAACCGAGCCAGCCCGGUCCGCGCGCACGCGCCCACGGUCACUGAC